rnacentral:rRNA from 1 species
AGUGAACGCUGGCGGUAGGCCUAACACAUGCAAGUCGAACGGCAGCACAGUAAGAGCUUGCUCUUACGGGUGGCGAGUGGCGGACGGGUGAGGAAUACAUCGGAAUCUACUUUUUCGUGGGGGAUAACGUAGGGAAACUUACGCUAAUACCGCAUACGACCUACGGGUGAAAGCAGAGGAUCUUCGGACCUUGCGCGAUUGAAUGAGCCGAUGUCGGAUUAGCUAGUUGGCGGGGUAAAGGCCCACCAAGGCGACGAUCCGUAGCUGGUCUGAGAGGAUGAUCAGCCACACUGGAACUGAGACACGGUCCAGACUCCUACGGGAGGCAGCAGUGGGGAAUAUUGGACAAGGGGCGCAAGCCUGAUCCAGCCAUACCGCGUGGGUGAAGAAGGCCUUCGGGUUGUAAAGCCCUUUUGUUGGGAAAGAAAAGCAGCAGGUUAAUACCCCGCUGUUCUGACGGUACCCAAAGAAUAAGCACCGGCUAACUUCGUG